rnacentral:pre_miRNA from 1 species
UGUGAAUCAGUGGGGUCCCUUGGCCUGGCCUGCACCUUCUCACAAUCUGGAACCCCUUGGGGGAUGUCAGAGAGUCAGUUUUGGCCUGAUCCUGCAGGCCAGGCUGAGGGACCCCACUGGUGCACA